UACGUAGGGUGCGAGCGUUGUUCGGAAUUACUGGGCGUAAAGCGCACGUAGGCGGCUUUGUAAGUUAGAGGUGAAAGCCCGGGGCUCAACCCCGGAAUUGCCUUUAAGACUGCAUCGCUUGAAUCCGGGAGAGGUGAGUGGAAUUCCGAGUGUAGAGGUGAAAUUCGUAGAUAUUCGGAAGAACACCAGUGGCGAAGGCGGCUCACUGGACCGGUAUUGACGCUGAGGUGCGAAAGCGUGGGGAGCAAACAGG
rnacentral:rRNA from 1 species